CCUACGGGAGGCAGCAGUGAGGAAUAUUGGUCAAUGGGCUUACGCCUGAACCAGCCAAGUCGCGUGAGGGAAGACUGCCCUAUGGGUUGUAAACCUCUUUUGUCAGGGAGCAAUUGGCGCUACGUGUAGCGUUAUCGAGAGUACCCGAAGAAAAAGCAUCGGCUAACUCCGUGCCAGCAGCCGCGGUAAUACGGAGGAUGCGAGCGUUAUUCGGAUUUAUUGGGUUUAAAGGGUGCGUAGGCGGACUGGAAAGUCAGCGGUAAAAUCGAGAGGCUCAACCUCUUUCCGCCGUUGAAACUGGCGGUCUUGAGUGGGCGAGAAGUAUGCGGAAUGCGUGGUGUAGCGGUGAAAUGCAUAGAUAUCACGCAGAACUCCGAUUGCGAAGGCAGCAUACCGGCGCCCGACUGACGCUGAGGCACGAAAGCGUGGGUAUCGAACAGGAUUAGAUACCCGUGUAGUC
rnacentral:rRNA from 1 species